rnacentral:tRNA from 1 species
AGGACCAUAGUUCAGUGGUAGAGCAUCUGCUUUGCAUGCAGAAGGUCUCAGGUUCAAUCCCAGCAUUCCUGAUGGGGCUGG